CCUUCCCUGUCACGGCAUCCCAGAGCCUAGUUGCAGCUGGGAACAAGCAGAGGCUCAAGAAAAGCCUGCGGGACGAACAUAAGCAUGUAGUUUGGGUUCUGACCCCCAUUACUAACUAAGCGAUCUUGAGGAAAUCCGAUAACCUCUUUAAGCCUCAGUCUCUGUGCUCAGUUUCACCUAUCGAUUUGAAAUACAAAUCCUUCAUUGCCUAAUAGGAUGCAUGCAAAGGUAAGACCAGAUGAGAUCACAGCUGCAAACACAUCGUGGACAUGGUCAAACCCAUCCAAAGGCACAUACUAUUCCUAUCCUCCCGGGCCUACAAAGCCCUACCCCGAGGAGCCAGUCCCACUUCCCACUCUCCUGGAGCACUUUGUCAGGGUUGGCCGCCGUGCCAUACAGUGUGUUCAUUCCUCUCUCUGCACUGGCAGCGGGUGCAGAGAGGCUUUCCUAGCCAUACGGUCUUCACUACAACUAUGCAACCCUGGCCUUCAUAGCUCAGAGCAGCCGCGGGCUGAGCGCCGCUGGGUUUCAGCAGAACCUGACUGCAGUCGCCCCGCUCCGCACCGGGGCGUGGGCGGUGUCUCCCGCUCAGAAUGCGGAGCCCGCCACCCCCCCAGCGCCCUCUCCUCAGCACCUUGAAUGAAGGGUCCCCGGCCCACGGCAUUCUCCUCCUUCUCUGCUCUCCUUCAAUACAGGUGAUCCCUGCCAUUUGAGUUCCCAAACGGAGAAAGGUUAAUAUAGAGGUCUGUGCUGGGCGCUGCCUGCCGCCUGAAUGACACUCCUGUUGAGAGCCGUGGCCUCCCCCGGCACACCGGCCUUUUGUACUUCGCUCUCACUUCGUGGGCACUCUGGCCACAAGCAGGCAAAGGCUUCGUGGCUUCACUGGGGUUGGGCUUGCUCUCCUCCCGGCUCCCGUUGAGGAGGCAACACGCCGGCUGAGGAAGGGAGCCAGGUGGGCGGCCAGGCUCACUCCCUGGCUCAGGGACUGACUCCCAAACCCCAGCCCCGGGGCCCCGAUGCCUCAGAGUCCUGUCGUGGCCAAGCUGCCAAUUACCACAUGCCCUGGGCCUCUGCAUCCACCACUCCAAGGACCGCGGAGGUGCCUUCACAGCCUGUGUGGCCGCAUUUGGGUCUAACUGUACGCUGCCUUUUAUGGCUUAAUUAUUAUUUCACAUGUGUUAGUCUCAUCUUCCCAAUUAGAUGUUCCCUGGAGGGAGACAGACGUGAUGGCUGAUGAUUGUGCUGCUUUGGUACCCGCUGUGACGCUCCGUCGAGCUGUCCAUGACCUCCAAGGAGGUGACCGGGACAGGUCCCAGCACCAGGGAACAG